GAUGAACGCUAGCUACAGGCUUAACACAUGCAAGUCGCGGGGCAGCAUGGGGGUUGCUUGCAAUCCCCGAUGGCGACCGGCGCACGGGUGAGUAACGCGUAUCCAACCUGCCCUUCACCACGGGAUAACCCGGCGAAAGUCGGACUAAUACCGUAUGUUGUCCAUUGACGGCAUCCGAUUUGGACGAAAGGUUUGGCGGUGAAGGAUGGGGAUGCGUCCGAUUAGCUGGACGGCGGGGUGACGGCCCACCGUGGCGACGAUCGGUAGGGGUUCUGAGAGGAAGGUCCCCCACACUGGAACCGGGACCCCGUCCAGACUCCUACGGGAAGCAGCAGUUAGGGAUAAUGGGCAAAGGGCGGAAGGCUGAACCCACCAAAUAACGUGCAGGAAUACCGCCCUAUUGGUUUUAAACUGCUUUUAUGCGGGGAUAAAGUGGCCCACGUGUGGGUUUUUGCAGGUACCGCAUGAAUAAGGACCGGCUAAUUCCGUG
rnacentral:rRNA from 1 species